GACGGAGGAUGCAAGCGUUAUCCGGAAUGAUUGGGCGUAAAGCGUCCGCAGGUGGCAGUUCAAGUCUGCUGUCAAAGACCGGGGCUUAACUUCGGAAAGGCAGUGGAAACUGAACAGCUAGAGUAUGGUAGGGGCAGAGGGAAUUCCUGGUGUAGCGGUGAAAUGCGUAGAUAUCGGAAGGAGCAUCAGUGGCGAAAGCGACUUCCUGGACCAGUACCGACGUUCAGGCACGAAAGCGUGGGGAGCAAACAGG
rnacentral:rRNA from 1 species